GACGAACGCUGGCGGCGUGCCUAAUACAUGCAAGUCGAACGAAGUGGGGACGGGUGAGUAACACGUGGGUAACCUCCCAUCAGAGGGGAUAACACUUGCAAACAGGUGCUAAACCUAUACUGAUGGAUGAACCCGCGGUGAAUUAGCUAGUUGUGUAGGUAACGGCUCACCAAGGCAACGAUGCAUAGCCGCCCUGAUCGGGUGAUCGGCCACCAUGGGCCGGAGAGACGGCCCAGCCUCCUACGGGAGGCAGCAGUAGGGAAUCGUCGGCAAUGGACGAAAGUCUGACCGAGCAACGCCGCGUGAGUGAAGAAGGUUUGCGGAUCGUAAAACUCUGGUGUUAGAGAAGCGGUAUCUAACCAGAAAGCCACGGCUAACUACGUGCCAGCAGCCGCGGUAAUUC
rnacentral:rRNA from 1 species